UACGUAGGGAGCAAGCGUUGUCCGGAAUCACUGGGCGUAAAGGGCGCGUAGGUGGUUUGAUAAGGGUGUGGUGAAAGUCCGGGGCUCAACCCCGGAUCUGCCGUGCCGACUGUCAAACUCGAGGGCUGUAGAGGCAGACGGAAUUCCGGGUGUAGCGGUGGAAUGCGUAGAGAUCCGGAGGAACACCGGUGGCGAAGGCGGCUUCCUGGACCGACACUGACGCUGAGGCGCGAAAGCCAGGGGAGCAAACGGG
rnacentral:rRNA from 1 species